rnacentral:rRNA from 1 species
AGCGGCGAACGGGUGAGUAACACGUGGAUUACCUGCCCUCGGCACCGGGAUAGCCCGGGGAAACCCGGAUUAAUACCGGAUGGCCCUUCCGGCUCACGAGCCGGUCGGAAAAGGUAGCUUCGGCCUCCGGCCGAGGAUGGGUCCGCGGCGGAUUAGCUUGUUGGUGGGGUAACGGCCUACCAAGGCUCCGAUCCGUAGCUGGUCUGAGAGGACGAUCAGCCACACUGGGACUGAGACACGGCCCAGACUCCUACGGGAGGCAGCAGUGGGGAAUCUUGCGCAAUGGGCGAAAGCCUGACGCAGCGACGCCGCGUAAGGGAGGAAGGCCUUCGGGUUGUAAACCUCUUUCAGGAGGGACGAAGCUACUCGGGUGAAUAGCCCAGAGGGUGACGGUACCUCCAGAAGAAGCCCCGGCUAACUACGUGCCAGCAGCCGCGGUAAUACGUAGGGGGCAAGCGUUGUCCGGAUUUACUGGGCGUAAAGCGCGUGUAGGCGGCCACGCAGGUCCGUUGUGAAAACUGGAGGCUCAACUUCCAGACGUCGACGGAAACCGUGUGGCUAGAGUCCGGAAGAGGAGAGUGGAAUUCCUGGUGUAGCGGUGAAAUGCGCAGAUAUCAGGAAGAACACCAAUGGCGAAGGCAGCUCUCUGGGACGGUACUGACGCUGAGACGCGAAAGCGUGGGGGAGCGAACAGGAUUAGAUACCCUGGUAGUCCACGCCGU